UUUAUAAUUGUCAGAUAAAGCCUCUUCAUCA
rnacentral:piRNA from 1 species